UACGUAGGGGGCAAGCGUUGUUCGGAAUGACUGGGCGUAAAGGGUGUGUAGGCGGUGUAGCAAGUUAGAAGUGAAAUACCUAGAGCUUAACUCAGGUGCUGCUUCUAAAACUGCUAUACUUGAGUGCAGUAGAGGAAAGUGGAAUUCCUAGUGUAGCGGUGGAAUGCGUAGAUAUUAGGAGGAACAUCAGUGGCGAAGGCGACUUUCUGGACUGUAACUGACGCUGAGGCACGAAAGUGUGGGGAGCAAACAGG
rnacentral:rRNA from 1 species